rnacentral:rRNA from 1 species
UACAGAGGGGGCAAGCGUUGUUCGGAAUUACUGGGCGUAAAGGGCGCGUAGGAGGCCUUCUAAGUUGAACGUGAAAUCCCUGGGCUCAACCCAGGAACUGCGUCCAAGACUGGGAGGCUUGAAUCCGGGAGAGGGAUGCGGAAUUCCAGGUGUAGCGGUGAAAUGCGUAGAUAUCUGGAGGAACACCGGUGGCGAAGGCGGCAUCCUGGACCGGGAUUGACACUGAGGCGCGAAAGCCAGGGGAGCAAACGGG